rnacentral:rRNA from 1 species
GUCUACAGCCACGCCACCCUGAACAAGCCCCAUCCCGUCUGAUCUCAGAAGCUAAGCAGGGUCGGGCCUGGUUAGUACUUGGAUGGGAGACCACCUAGGAACACCAGGUGCUGUAGGCA